rnacentral:rRNA from 1 species
UAAACAACCUGCCUUCAGGAUGGGGACAACAGACGGAAACGACUGCUAAUACCGAAUAAGUUCCAAGAGCCGCAUGGCCCAUGGAAGAAAAGGUGGCCUCUACCUGUAAGCUAUCGCCUGAAGAGGGGUUUGCGUCUGAUUAGCUGGUUGGAGGGGUAACGGCCCACCAAGGCGACGAUCAGUAGCCGGUCUGAGAGGAUGAACGGCCACACUGGAACUGAGACACGGCCCAG